rnacentral:rRNA from 1 species
CAGUAGCCGCGGUAAUACAGAGGGUGCGAGCGUUAAUCGGAUUUACUGGGCGUAAAGCGUGCGUAGGCGGCUUCUUAAGUCGGAUGUGAAAUCCCUGAGCUUAACUUAGGAAUUGCAUUCGAUACUGGGAGCUAGAGUAUGGGAGAGGAUGGUAGAAUUCCAGGUGUAGCGGUGAAAUGCGUAGAGAUCUGGAGGAAUACCGAUGGCGAAGGCAGCCAUCUGGCCUAAUACUGACGCUGAGGUACGAAAGCAUGGGGAGCAAACAGGAUUAGAUACCCGCGUAGUCCCUGUCUCUUAUACA